rnacentral:tRNA from 1 species
GCGGGUGUAGCACAACGGUAGUGCGGAACAUUGCCAAUGUUCAGACAGGGGUUCGACUCCCCUUACCCGCUCCA